CUACGGGGUGCUCCAGUGGGGAAUAUUGGACAAUGGGGGAAACCCUGAUCCAGCAAUGCCGCGUGUGUGAAGAAGGCCUGCGGGUUGUAAAGCACUUUCGGUUGGGAGGACUGCUUCUAGCACUAAUAUUGUUGGAAGUUGACGUUACCUUCAGAAGAAGCACCGGCUAACUCCGUGCCAGCAGCCGCGGUAAUACGGAGGGUGCAAGCGUUAAUCGGAAUUACUGGGCGUAAAGCGCGCGUAGGCGGCUAGAUCAGUCGGGUGUGAAAGCCCCGGGCUUAACCUGGGAACUGCAUCCGAUACUGGCUAGCUGGAGUACAGGGAGGGAGAGUGGAAUUCCACAUGUAGCGGUAAAAGGGGUGGAUAGUUGGGGGAACACCAAGGGCGAAGGCGCCUCUCUGGCCUGAUACUGACGUUGGGGUGCAAAAGCUGGGGAGCAAACAGGAUUAGAUACCCUUGUAGUC
rnacentral:rRNA from 1 species